AUGUUGGCACGGCAGUACCGGUCGGAGAUGGUACGGCACGGCGGCGCCGACGCAGGGGCUGCGCGGGAGGGAUGCACCCACCUAGUCGUCAGCGGACUCGUCGACGACGACCCGGUGUGCGUGGCGGCGCGGAAGGACGGUAGGAAGGUCGUGACUGGGCUGUGGGUGGACGACUCCGUGGAUCUCGGAGCCAUGGUUGAUGCCGAUCAUGUACUGUAUAGGCCAGUGAGAGAUUUGGAAGACAUACCGGGUGCUGAAUCGCUGUGCAUUUCCUUGUCGGGCUACCAAAGACAGAACGGGCGUGAAGCCAUAAUGAAAAUGGUUAAUAUGAUGGGAGCGCGGUUCUCCAAGCCUUUGACAACGAAAACGACUACCCAUCUCGUCUGCUACAAAUUCGAAGGUGAGGAGUACGAGCUUGCUAAAAUGGUGAAGAUUAAUAUUAUUAAUCACCAGUGGUUGGAAGACUGCUUAAAGGCAUGGGACAUUCUUCCUGUUGAUAAUUAUACUGCCAGAAGUUGUUGGGAAUUGGAGAUAAUGGAGGCAGAAGCUAAAGAUUCCGAAGAUGAAGCACAAAGUUCUGAUAGAGGCUUGUCUGAUAGCAGAGGCAGAACUCCUGCUGAUCUUUAUGGUCACAUACCCAUUAAUGGUCCUUCUGUCUUCUAUGGCAAUGCAGAUGUUCCUGCAGGAACACAUGUCGGUGCUUUGCAACAGAUUAGGGAAGUGAAAGAUGCAAGUGAAUGGUCAGUUGAUGUCAUGGCUGACACACUGAGCACCCCAAACACCAAUGUUGGGACAAUUUCUGCUGAUCCUGAAGCCCAUGCACAUGCACCACAAACUGAUAAAGUUGAAGUUGUAGCUGCAGACUCAGAACAUGACAAGUUGGUUUCUCAUAAAACCUUUGAAGCAGGCCCUAUGGAGAUCCCAAUCACUGCAGUCCCUGGUGAAUUUGGAGUAUUUUCCCAGGAAGUAUCAACUUCGCAACAGAUUAGGGAAGUGGAAGAUGCAAGUGAAAGGUCACUUGACGUCAUUGCUGACAUACUGAACACUCCCAAAACAAAUGGUGUAGCAAUUUCUGCUAAUCCUGAUGGCAAUUUACCUAUCCAUGGUCCUACUGUCUUCACUGGCAAUGCAGAUGCAGUGGUUCCUGCAGGAAGACGCUUGGAGACUUCACAGCAGAUUAGGGAAGUAGAAGAUGUCAGUAAAAGGUCACUUGAUGUCAGAGCUGACAGACUAAGCACUCCAAACACAAAUGUUGUGACAAUUUCUGCUGAUCCUGAUGCCCAUGCGCAUGCAUCACAAGCUGACAAAGUUGAAGCUGUAGCCGCAGACUCAGAGCAUGACUCAAUGGGUUCUCGUGCAACCUUCCAAGCAGGCCCUAAGGAGAUCCCAAUUACUGCAGUCCCUGGUGAAUUUGGAGUAUUUCCCCAGAAAGUAUCAACUUCUAGUGUGAGAAAUCUUGGUGCCAAGAGGUCACAGAUUCCUGAGGAUGAAACGGCUGCUGUAUCUGUACAUAGUAACUGUGACCUUGCUGCUUACAAGUCCAAGCAUGGUAAAGUUCUUUCCAAUGGCAGUGUCGAAGCAGAUCUUGGAAAGAACUGUAGCCUGAAUGCUGCUGAAAGCACAACAUUCGUGCCUGAAGAAAUCUUGAGCAGAUCAAGGAGCGCAGUUGCUAAGAGCCCACUCAAAUCCAACAGUCAGAUGAAUGAUGCGAUAGUGGUUUACAAGAUGAAGCCUGCUAAUAUGAAUAUGGAGGAAAACCCUACAACCAGCGCAUGCCCAACCGCUGGUAAAACCGAAAGAGUAUCUUUCGAGUUAAGUUUUCUUGAGGCGGUGAGUGCAGAAGGUUCCACUUCAAAGGUUUCAAGCAGUGCAACUGCAGAUAACUCUGAAACAUGUAUCCCCAAAAGAGUCCUGAAGCCCAAGAGGAGGAGAGUAUCUUCUUUCCAAGAAGGGAGAUCUGACAGUGAGGCUUGCAGAACAGUUAGUGUCUUAUCUGAAGCAUCAACGUUGCCUGCAGAGAGUUCCACAAAUGCUGGCAUGGUGACAGUGUACAAGGGUCUCCACAAUGCUGAUGAAGCCUGCGAAGAUAGACCAGAAGAUUUGCAAAGCUCUAAACCUAGAAGCAGAAAGAGACAGAAAACUGACCACAAUAACAAGGAAAACAUACCAGCCAAUACUAGUCUCGCUCCUAAAUCAAAACAUGGGGAAAAACGUGUGAGUUCUGAAUGCGCCAGAAUAGCUGUAGAGAAUUACAAAUAUGUGAUUGAUGACCGCAGUAUGACAGGGGGAAAUGAUGAUGGAUCCUUGGCCAUGUGGGAACCAGAACCUACAUGGUUUAUUUCAAGUGGGCAUCGCCUGUUGAGAAAGGAGUGCAGGUCAAUAUUUCUACGCCUGAAGGGAAGGAUCUGCUGUCCCUCACACCACUGGUCUUUCCAAGCGACACAUUUUAUCACCCCUGAGCUCCGCAGAACCGAAAAAUUCUUUGCAGCUGCUGCAGCUGGGAGGUGGAUACUGAAGCCUGAGUACUUGUUUGCUUGCAAUGAGGCUGGCAAGCUAGUGGAUGCAGAAUCAUUCGAGUGGCAUGGUGACGGCCUUAACGACAACCAAACAAUAAGCCUGGACGCUUCGAGGAAAUGGCAGCACCUGAAGCAGCGCGCCGGCCAUGGCGCCUUCUAUGGGAUGCGGAUCAUCAUAUAUGGAGAGUGCAUUUCUCCAUCAUUGGACACCCUGAGGCGUGCAGCGAGAGCCGGUGAUGGCAUGAUCCUGGCCACUGCCCCGCCUUACACACGGUUCCUGAAGCUGGGCGCGGUCAGCUUCGCGGUUGUGUCUGCGGGCACGCCAAGCAGCAACACGUGGGUUCAAGAGUUCAAGAGCCACGGGAUCCCGUGCGUGAACCCGAGCUAUCUGGUGGACUACAUGUGCAAGCCCAGCCACCUCGAGCAGCACAAGCACGUCCCCUUCGACAUGCAGGACCUGGCUGACGAGUCCCUGCGGAAGGUGCUGUCGAGCCAGGAGGGAGGUGAUGCCGAGCAGAGCUGCAGCUCCGGCAGAAUGGUGGUGGUUGCUAUGCCCAAGAACAUGCAUGGAUCACUCCAUUGUAUUGAAAAUGCAAGUUCUAACAAGAAAACUGUGCAAAUACUAAUCGACAACGGCAGGCCUACUUCGACUCUCAAUGUCGAAUUGGACGAGCCCUCCAGAAAUAUGGUGGAAAAUUACAAGAUGAAAUCAAAUUGGAACUACGCAGACUUCUAUUUCUCCUACAAGAACAAAAUUAUUCUUCCUGGUCGAACAUUAAGAUCAUAUGGCAUUUCCAAGGGAUGUACAAUCGAUCUCUACACCAGAGUGAGAGGUGGAAGAUUAUCUUUUAUGGACUAUGUUGAGGAAUACAAGGCUAGUUUCACAGAAAUUGCCAAGCUUCCUGAUGGGAAUCUUUCGUUGAAAGUGCCUAUUGGAGGAUGUAUAUUUCUUUCAUCCUUCCUAUCAUGCGUCAUGGCUACAUGGUCGCAAAACAGGUCUUGGAAUGGCUAG
rnacentral:rRNA from 1 species